rnacentral:rRNA from 1 species
AUUGAACGCUGGCGGCAUGCCUUACACAUGCAAGUCGAACGGCAGCACGGGAGCAAUCCUGGUGGCGAGUGGCGAACGGGUGAGUAAUAUAUCGGAACGUGCCCAGUAGUGGGGGAUAACUGCUCGAAAGAGCAGCUAAUACCGCAUACGACCUGAGGGUGAAAGGGGGGGAUCGCAAGACCUUUCGCUAUUGGAGCGGCCGAUAUCAGAUUAGCUAGUUGGUGGGGUAAAGGCCUACCAAGGCAACGAUCUGUAGUUGGUCUGAGAGGACGACCAGCCACACUGGGACUGAGACACGGCCCAGACUCCUACGGGAGGCAGCAGUGGGGAGUUUUGGACAAUGGGCGCAAGCCUGAUCCAGCAAUGCCGCGUGCAGGAAGAAGGCCUUCGGGUUGUAAACUACUUUUGUCAGGGAAGAAAUCCUCUAGGUUAAUACCCUUGGGGGGAUGACGGUACCUGAAGAAUAAGCACCGGCUAACUACGUGCCAGCAGCCGCAGUAAGAC